rnacentral:rRNA from 1 species
AAUCAACGCUGGCGGCGUGCCUCAGACAUGCAAGUCGAACGCGAAAGUUUCCUUCGGGAGACAAGUAGAGUGGCGCACGGGUGAGUAACACGUAGGUAAUCUACCUUCGGGUGGGGAAUAACCCAGGGAAACUUGGGCUAACACCGCAUAAUGCAGCGGCACCACAUGGUGACAGUUGUUAAAGCGGGGGAUUUUCGGACCUCGCGCCUGGAGAGGAGCCUGCGGCGGAUUAGCUAGUUGGUAGGGUAACGGCUUACCAAGGCGACGAUCCGUAACCGGCCUGAGAGGGCGGUCGGUCACACUGACACUGACAUACGGGUCAGACUCCUACGGGAGGCAGCAGUCGGGAAUUUUGGGCAAUGGGCGAAAGCCUGACCCAGCAACGCCGCGUGAAGGAUGAAAUCCCUCGGGAUGUAAACUUCGCAAGAAUGGGAAGAAUGAGCGAGCGCUAAUACCGUUCGUGAUGACGGUACCAUUUGUAAGCUCCGGCUAACUCCGUGC